rnacentral:misc_RNA from 1 species
UCCGUUUCAGGCAGGAAAGUUGAGA